rnacentral:lncRNA from 1 species
AAGAGUUGAUAAAUCAGUCAUGUGUUUUUAUGUGAAUUAGAUAAAAGUAUAGUAUUAUUCCUUCCGACAAAGUGAUUGACAUUUGAAAAAGGUCUGAAAUAAUCUGGUUUAAUAACGGUACAGGUAAUACAUGUAUAUCAUAUAUAAAAAACAUACCCUAGGAUAAAACGCUUACAGACAACACAAUAAUCGAAAGAAAGUGGGAAGGUUGUUAAAUGCCUACAUGUUAUCCUCCUUUUCCUCAAUUUCGCCUGCACGGAUUUAAUGUUUUUCAUUCCAGCAACAAAAUACGACAAAUUCAAUUGAUCUUCGUUAAACAUGAAUGAUGUUCUGAUAAAAAAUAAUCCUUACUGAAGACACUGA